UCACUCUCUUCUCUUUGACACUCUUUCUCUUUUUCUCUCUUCUCUGAUCGUCCUCCUCAUUUUUAUCUUCAUCUCAGCAUCCAGAAAUUGUGUUCCAAGUCACGAGAGACGGCUGGUCAGUACUGCAGUUACGAGAGCGUUUGGCAAAGAACAAAGAAGACACGGCAUGGGCUCCGAAUCUGUUUCUGACGAGUAGCAGAGAUGAAAAAUAAUAAGUUAAAGGUGACGGUGGCUAUUGAUACAGCUUCAGGUAGAAAGAACAGUGGCAGAUUUUAGGGUGUUGCUGCCAUCAACGAAGAAGGAGCAGUUGAUAACAAUUUUAGGACACCGAUCAAGAGAAUGGAGAGCUCUGAGAUCCAUAUACCAUCCAUAUUUUUUGCAGAGGGUUCGAGAUGCAAGCAAAGGAAUCGCCAGAGGAAGGUGUGAUGGUUUCGGCAAGCGUUCUGGCACCGGUACACCAGAAACUGAGGCUCGAUCCAUUUGCGGGUACUCCACAGGGAUGAUCGUCUUGGUUUAUGGUCGUCACGGAUAUGCCGACGAAGCGACUAGACUCCCCCCACACCAACAACACCUUUGAGAAACUCGCUAAGGUAUUAUAAAAUUAUAGGUUCUUUCGAUAACUAUUAUAUUAUCCUGUCAAAGCUGCCAGGGGAAGGCGUGAAUUUUGACCCUGACAACAGCUCUGAAUUUCUUCCAAAUGCUACAAUUGAGCCUCAUAUAUGGGAAGCUUAUUGAAAGAGUACUGUGAACCUCAUCUUGCCAAGAUACAACAAACUAUGAUAAGCAAGCUUAAAAUCCAAGCUAUUAUGAUUGCAUCUGCUCCAUUAGCGUCAAAAGUCUUUAGUGCCUUCAAACAAAAGUUUCAUGGUGGUGUUGUCCAAGAGUUUCAAAGACAUCAUAGCCAGGCACAAUUUGCAGAAGCAUUGUAUGGUGAUCUGACAUGGCAGGUAGGAAAACUUAUCUGCCUGUAAGGAUCUUGGAGCUAAUGUUGCCAUCAAUAAUAAGACAGAGAUUCUGUUGCACGAGUGAAGGAAGAAACAGGAAAGAAAGUUGCCACUUCCUGUAUUGCUGUAGUUUUGAUGUCAUAUGGAUCAAAUUAUGAGAUUGUACCUUCAGCGAAACCUCGACAGCUUAAACUUUGAUGGAAGGCUUUUCUUCAUUAGCAUAAUGGGUGGAGCUAGAGGAGAAGUAAAUAUGAACAGUAUGCUCAAUAGGAAACUCACAACUUAAGAAAUGGAUGGUGAAAUAGUAGUGCAUAUCAGAGGUUGCUUUUGCCAGAGUAUGGUGAAAAAUAGUUGCUCCUUCAAAUGAUGUUGCAUGGGAAUGCAACUGCUCUUAUUGCUCCAUGAUAACCGAUACUCAUUUUGUUGUGUCUGCUGAUAAAUUUCAGUUUUUAGGGGAUUCUUCAAGUUUAUUACAACUUAUAUCUUAGGCACUCAUACCAGCACCACUCGCACUCAGCACUAUGAAUGCACACUGCGUUUUUAAUCAUUUCAUAUGAGAUCUUAUUUGAUGUGUUGUGUUCAUUUA